CAACCUAUUGAAUAAUAAGGGCGCAACUUUAAAUGGCAAAUAUAAUUAACCAAUCUUUAUCAUAUAUUUCCAACCAAAAACCUUCCCACAAGUAAUGCUGCUGUCCAAAAGGAAACUUCCAUUUAAGAAGACAGCCACUAUGUUUUGCAAAUUCCAUUAUUUGGUGGGGAAUGGAGGGGGGGAGAAAAAGGAUGAACCACAGCUCAUGCAUGUAUUUUUUCCAGACCCACCCAUGUGUUCAUAAAUGACAAGACUGAGUGAAGCGGAAGGAAAGCAAGAAAUCAUCAUCUGCAAUAGAUACAUUGAGGACAAAGGUAAGGCCCAAUUCCCAUACCUGACUCUCAGAAUGUGAAAUACCUUCUGAUGCUAUCAUUCAAGUUCUUUUGCCUUUAAUUCUGGAUGGUCCUUCAGCUGAUGCUAAGCCAAUGCUUAAUGGACACCAUAGCUUCAUGCUUCAGUUGAUAAGGUCUGUCAGCUUGGUGGAUCUGAAAGUAUGUAUUAGGGAUUCCAGAAACCUAGCUGCUCAUAAGUCAAUAUUUCUCCAAUCCCACAUUCAUCACCAUAUCAUUUUGGUUAAGGAGGGACUUCAGGAAGAAAUCAAAUCUUUCAACGAUCUCUAUAUGUAGAAAAGUUUAGAAAACUAACUAAAAACUUAAAAACAGUAUUAAAUCAGAGACCAAACAAAGUAAACAAGGGAAAAAGGAAAAGAAGAAGCUCAGAUCUGCCAUUGGAAAAUAAGGCAUUGCAAGUUCCUCUGCACCUUAACCAUAAGGUGGCCGCAAGCGGUUGCCUGCAGUGCAGCAGACCGUCCAAGCUUGCCUUGCCACUACAACAAGAACAGAAAUGCUCUCUCUCUCUCUCCCCCCCUCACACACACAGAGAGUAAACGAAAAAGCCUCUUUAGGUGCAUCUGACACUGGCAAUCAUCAUAGCCUCUUUAUAAAUAGAUCACUGCUGCUGAUCCUCUGUAUGAAAAGCAUUAUUCCAGAAGAGACAGAAAUAGGACGGAGAGGGAAAAGAAAAAAACAUGGAACAAAAGCUUGAACUCUGCCUUACAGCAGAUCAUCCAGAGUUCUCCAUGCUCACGAUCGCAGAGGAAGACAUGAAUACAUAUCAAGGGUGAGAAAAGAUUAAGCUCUCAAAACCUCAAGGGACCAACUCACACCACCACAACUCGCACAGAAUCCCAUAUGCUCGAGAAACAAACCCAACUGGAACCUAAGAAACCCCUCCGAUCUCCCUCAAGUGCUCUCCUUCCCCAGAUCUCCAGAAAAGAGAAUGACAUGAAAAGAAAAUGAAGCACAAAGAAAAAAAAUUGAUCAACAUAUGUCAAAAAAGGUCUUACCUUUGUUUUUGUAGAUUUUUCAUAUGUUUCUUUUCUCAUGGUUUUUCCUUUGUCUUUGCCAUCCUCAAGGGCCCAUUCUUUGGUGGGUAAACAUCAUAGUGAAGUUAGUUAACUUUCCCAUUAACCAACUUACCCAUGUUCUCAUGCUUCUCUAGAUGGGUAAAUUAUUUUUCCAUGAAUAACCUUUUUAUUUCAUUCUUAAUAUACCCUAACCCUAUAAUAAUAAUAAUAUAAUAUAAUACCAUCUUAUAUAUACUAUAAUAUUAUUACCAGGCAACAAUAAUUUAUUGUUUUAAUAUAAUAAUAUAUUAUAAUAAUAUAAUAUUAUAGUAUAAUAUCUUAUUUUAUUAUUAUAAUAUAAUAUUAAUAUCUUAUGUUAUUAUAAUAUAAUAUAAUAUAAUGUAAUAAUGCAUUAUUUUAUAUAUAUAUAAACAUUAUAUAUUAUAUUAUAAUAUAUACUUUAUUUUAUUAUAUAAUAUAAUUUAUUAUACUAUAUAUAGCAUAUAUUAACUACAUUUAUGAAUAUAUA
rnacentral:lncRNA from 1 species